CCUUCGGGUUGUAAAGUUUUUUUUUGCGGGAGGAAUACCCGGGGUUUCAAUCCCCGGGGGGUGACGGUACCUCAAGAGGAAGCCCCCGCUAAAUUUGUGCCAGCAGCCGCGGUAAUACGUAGGGGGCGAGCGUUUUUCUGAAUUAUUGGGGGUAAAGGGCGUGUGGGGGGCGUUUUAAGUCUGACGUGAAAGACCCCGGCUCAACCCUGGGGGUGCGUUGGAAACUGGCAGGCUUGAGGGCGGGAGAGGGAAGCGGAAUUCCCGGUGUAGCGGUGAAAUGUGUAGAUAUCGGGAGGAACACCCGUGGCGAAGGCGGCUUCCUGGGCUGUACCUGACGCUGAAGCGCGAAAGCGUGGGGAGCGAACGCGAUUAGAUACCCCGGUAGUCCACGCCCUAAACGAUGAGAAGAGGUGUGGGAGGUAUCGACCCCUCUCGUGCCGCAGCUAACGCACUAAGCACUCCGCCUGAA
rnacentral:rRNA from 1 species